CGGAGGAUCCGAGCGUUAUCCGGAUUUAUUGGGUUUAAAGGGUGCGUAGGCGGCCUGUUAAGUCAGGGGUGAAAGACGGUAGCUCAACUAUCGCAGUGCCCUUGAUACUGAUGGGCUUGAAUGUACUAGAGGUAGGCGGAAUGUGACAAGUAGCGGUGAAAUGCAUAGAUAUGUCACAGAACACCAAUUGCGAAGGCAGCUUACUAUGGUAUUAUUGACGCUGAGGCACGAAAGCGUGGGGAUCAAACAGGAUUAGAUACCCUGGUAGUCCACGCCCUAAACGAUGAAUACUCGAUGUUAGCGAUAUACAGUUAGCGUCAAAGCGAAAGCGUUAAGUAUUCCACCUGGGGAUACGCCCGCAAGGGUG
rnacentral:rRNA from 1 species